GCAGUCGUACAGGUACCGAAAGCUUGCUUUUCUGAUGACGACCGGCGCACGGGUGCGUAACGCGUAUACAACCUACCUUUUAGCGGGGAAUAGCCCAGGGAAACUUGGAUUAAUGCCCCAUAGUAUGGAGGUCUCUCCUGAGAUUUUCAUUAAACAUUUAUGGCUAUUAGAUGGGUAUGCGUCCUAUUAGUUAGUUGGUAAGGUAACGGCUUACCAAGGCAGCGAUAGGUAGGGGUCCUGAGAGGGAGAUCCCCCACACUGGUACUGAGACACGGACCAGACUCCUACGGGAGGCAGCAGUGAGGAAUAUUGGACAAUGGGCGAGAGCCUGAUCCAGCCAUGCCGCGUGCAGGAAGACUGCCCUAUGGGUUGUAAACUGCUUUUACAGAGGAAGAACCNACCCCCNACGUGUGGGGGUUUGACGGUACUCUGCGAAUAAGGAUCGGCUAACUCCGUGCCAGCAGCCGCGGUAAUACGGAGGAUCCAAGCGUUAUCCGGAAUCAUUGGGUUUAAAGGGUCCGUAGGCGGGCAGUUAAGUCAGUGGUGAAAGUCUUCCGCUCAACGGGAGAACUGCCAUUGAUACUGAUUGUCUUGAGUUAUUAUGAAGUGGUUAGAAUGAGUAGUGUAGCGGUGAAAUGCAUAGAUAUUACUCAGAAUACCGAUUGCGAAGGCAGAUCACUAAUAAUAUACUGACGCUGAUGGACGAAAGCGUAGGUAGCGAACAGGAUUAGAUACCCUGGUAGUCUACGCCGUAAACGAUGGUUACUAGCUGUUCGGAUCGAUUGAGAUCUGAGUGGUUAAGCGAAAGUGAUAAGUAACCCACCUGNGGGAGUACGUUCGCAAGAAUGAAACUCAAAGGAAUUGACNGGGGGCCCGCACAAGCGGNUGGAGCAUGUGGNUUUAAUUCGAUGAUACGCNGAGGAACCUUACCAGGGCUUAAAUGUAGUCUGANCAGGAGUGGNAAACACUUNUUUUCUUCGGACAGANUUACAAGGUGCNUGCAUGGNUUGNUCGUCAGCNUCGUGCCSUGANGGUGUCNAGGUUAAGUCCUANUAACGAGCGCAANCCCCKGUGGUUANKUUGCCARNCRAKUCAAGNUCNGGGAACUCNUAGCCMGANCUGCNCGGUGCNAAACCGCNNGAGRAAGGUGGGGAUGACGUCAAAUCAUCACGGCCCUUACGUCCUGGGCCACACACGUGCUACAAUGGUAGGGACAGAGAGCAGCCACUUCGCGAGAAGGAGCGAAUCUACAAACCCUAUCACAGUUCGGAUCGCAGUCUGCAACUCGACUGCGUGAAGCUGGAAUCGCUAGUAAUCGCAUAUCAGCCAUGAUGCGGUGAAUACGUUCCCGGGCCUUGUACACACCGCCCGUCAAGCCAUGAAGCCGGGGG
rnacentral:rRNA from 1 species